rnacentral:rRNA from 1 species
AGUGAACGCUGGCGGUAGGCCUAACACAUGCAAGUCGAACGGCAGCACAGUAAGAGCUUGCUCUUACGGGUGGCGAGUGGCGGACGGGUGAGGAAUACAUCGGAAUCUACUUUUUCGUGGGGGAUAACGUAGGGAAACUUACGCUAAUACCGCAUACGACCUACGGGUGAAAGCAGGGGAUCUUCGGACCUUGCGCGAUUGAAUGAGCCGAUGUCGGAUUAGCUAGUUGGCGGGGUAAAGGCCCACCAAGGCGACGAUCCGUAGCUGGUCUGAGAGGAUGAUCGGCCACACUGGAACUGAGACACGGUCCAUACUCCUACGGGAGGCAGCAGUGGGGAAUAUUGGACAAUGGGCGCAAGCCUGAUCCAGCCAUACCGCGUGGGUGAAGAAGGCCUUCGGGUUGUAAAGCCCUUUUGUUGGGAAAGAAAAGCAGCAGGUUAAUACCCCGCUGUUCUGACGGUACCCAAAGAAUAAGCACCGGCUAACUUCGUG